rnacentral:rRNA from 1 species
GUUUGAUCCUGGCUCAGAAUCAACGCUGGCGGCGCGCUUAACACAUGCAAGUCGCACGAGAAAGGGAGCAAUCCUAAGUAAAGUGGCGUACGGGUGAGUAACACGUGGAUCAUCUACCUUUUAGUGGGGAAUACCUCCUGGAAACGGGAGACAAUACCGCAUAAGCUCGAGAGAGGAAAGCGUCGUUGUCAAAGACGACGCGCUGAAAGAGGAGUCCGCGGCUGAUUAGCUAGUUGGCGGGGUAAUGGCCCACCAAGGCGAAGAUCGGUAGCCGGCCUGAGAGGGCACACGGCCACACUGGCACUGAAACACGGGCCAGACUCCUACGGGAGGCAGCAGUGGGGAAUCUUGCACAAUGGAGGAAACUCUGAUGCAGCGACGCCGCGUGAGCGAUGAAGCCCUUCGGGGUGUAAA